AGGGAAAAUUAAGUGGCCAGCAGCUGCCGAAUUAAUAUGUUCUUGUAAUCUAUUUUUUAUUUACAGAUGCACAUUCCCAUCAGAUGGGAUUUGAGCAGAAUGCAUUUUUACAACAAAAACCAAAGCAGCCCAAUUUUCGUGUUUGCACACAGAUGGGUUACUCUGUGUUUCCUUGGACAAUUUGGAGUGUGUCUUCUCCCAACACAGCCCAGAUGCUUGUUUGUAAUGCUGAGCUUCCGGCCUCGGGGCUAAGCUAUCAAAUGACCCAGAGAAGGAAAUGGCAAAUAACUCCAGUAUUUUUGCCAAGAAAACCUCCAAAAUGGAAUCAUAAAGACUUGGAAACUACUGAAAAAUGACUGAAAACCAUUGGAGCAUGGCAUAGUCAUCAAUGCCCAGAGACAGGAUAAAAGACAAGAUGAUUGGCAAUGGUCUGGGAUGCAGUGGAUGAUCUUGGUCUCUUUGGCAUCUGUUCAGGCUCUGAAGCACCCCACAGUGCCUGCCUGCUUCAACUACCUUUUAUGGCCAUUAAAACAAAUUGUUCUAAUCUACCCAUUUUAGAAGUGGAAGUCUUAAAAAUGUAAGUAGAUAUCCCUUUAACUCACUGAUGGGUUUGAGGCCUGUUGGUCAUCCUCAACUGGGUUUAGUGAGUGAUGGUGAAUCUUUUAGAGAGGUAUGUGAUGGGAGAAAUAUCCUCAGGCCACCUAUGGAGAGGGGGAGGAGACUAACCCAGUGUCAUGUCUCUCUGGCAGUCUAGUAAUGAACACUGUUGAGUGCUGUGUUGGAGUUAUGGCUGGGUGCUCACAGAGAGGGUUCUGAGUGCCUUCUCUGGCAUGUGUGCAAUAGGUCCACCACCAUGGGUUUAGGCUGUUUGCUGAGAUGAUUUACUCAGGGUGUGGUCACUGGAUAGCCAUAGCUUCUUAAAGCUACAGGGGGGAGUUGGGUGAAAGGACCCCAAAGGUGGUUAAGUAGCCCUGAAAAUGGCUUAAUAAGCCUUUACUCAAGAAGUAUGAGUCCUCCUUGUAUAUCUAAUAUUCCUUAUCUAAAUCUACUCACUGGGAAAAGGAGAUCCUAGAAUCCUAGAGAACUGGAAGGGGUGUUAGAGACCUCUUGGUUCCAGGAGGCUCUGACAACAGAUGCUGUAAGGGUUGGGUUCCACUGAACAACAUUUCUGUAAUGAUUAAAAUUAUACUAAGACUUCUUUUUGAGUAAGAAUAUCAAUUUUUUGAUCAUAUCGGGUUUAUUGGUUAGGUCAGCAUAUAGGUUUCCAUGGCUUUCUCAUUAUCAAGGGACUAACUGAUUUGGGUUAGGCAACCCCAUAAAUAGAUUUUUAGCAGCUUAAUAUUUGGUGCCUCCUCUGAACAUCCGAAGACAUCUUUAAUUGAUGAUAACUAAUUAAGAGGUGCUCUAUCAAGCUGUCUACCGCUCUCUAUCCCCAUAGAUGGAUAGUCAUGUCCACAGGAAAAGAACUCUUAUCUCCUUCAUUUAUUAGUCAAAUUUUGCCAACAUGGAAGAUAGUCUUUGGGAUUCCAAAGAACAAAGGAAAUGCAAAAAGUAACAGACUGUAUGGUAUUUCAGAUCUGGAUCCCAGACAGAGGAACACAUGGUAGUCCUCCCUAACAUAUAAGAAUUAACACAGUAUAUGAAAAACAAAUUCUCAUAAUUGUAAUACAAGCUGUUAAUGCCAGCUCAUUGCAAGGUCCAGCUUAUCUAAGAACCUUAAAACAGGACUGGAAGGUGAUUGGUUCCUAAACCCAGCAUAGAAUAGUAUUUGUUGUUGGGUUUUACACUUUCUGGCAUAUUUCUGUUUCUGUAUAGGAGAACCAACUUCCCAGUCUGAAAGGGGUCAUUUUUUAAAAUUAAAAAUCGUUUACUUUUAAUAUUUAUUUGUUAAAAAAAAUGAGUGUCAAAUUCUCUCUUUUUCCAGCCUCUUCUCCACUCAAUGUAAAAACAAGCAAUGUGAUAUCCAUUAGAUAUGUAAAGUCAUUCAAAACACAUUUUGUAUAAGCCAUGUUUCAAAAAAUAAAAAAUCCAGCAUUAAAAAGAAAGUGAAAAAA
rnacentral:lncRNA from 1 species